rnacentral:rRNA from 1 species
UACGGAGGGGGCUAGCGUUGUUCGGAAUUACUGGGCGUAAAGCGCGCGUAGGCGGGUGUCUAAGUCGGGGGUGAAAUCCCGGGGCUCAACCCCGGAACGGCCUUCGAUACUGGGCGCCUUGAGGUCGGGAGAGGUGAGUGGAAUUCCGCGUGUAGAGGUGAAAUUCGUAGAUAUUCGGAGGAACACCAGUGGCGAAGGCGGCUCACUGGCCCGAUACUGACGCUGAGGUGCGAAAGCGUGGGGAGCAAACAGG